rnacentral:rRNA from 1 species
UACGUAGGGUGCGAGCGUUAAUCGGAAUUACUGGGCGUAAAGCGUGCGCAGGCGGUGAGCUGUGUCCGAUGUGAAAGCCCCGGCUUAACCUGGGAAUGGCAUUGGAAACUGGCUCGCUGGAGUGUGGCAGAGGGGGUGGAAUUCCGCGUGUAGCAGUGAAAUGCGUAGAUAUGUGGAGGAAUACCGAUGGCGAAGGCAGCCCCUGGGAU